rnacentral:misc_RNA from 1 species
GAAAUGCGAUAAGUAAUGUGAAUUGCAGAAUUCAGUGAAUCAUCGAAUCUUUGAACGCACAUUGCGCCCGCCAGUAUUCUGGCGGGCAUGCCUGUUCGAGCGUCAUUUCAACCCUCAAGCCCCCGGGUUUGGUGUUGGGGAUCGGCACAGGUGUGAUAAUUAUCUACGCCGGUGGGUUGCUCUCUGUG